GAUGAACGCUAGCGGCAGGCUUAAUACAUGCAAGUCGAGGGGCAGCGCAGUGUAGCAAUACAUGGGCGGCGACCGGCAAACGGGUGCGGAACACGUACGCAACCUACCCAUAACUGAUGAAUAGCCCUCCGAAAGGAGGAUUAAUACAUCGUAACCUAGUGAAGUGGCAUCACUUUACUAGUAUAGCUCCGGCGGUUUUGGAUGGGCGUUCGCCUGAUUAGGUAGUUGGCGGGGUAACGGCUCACCAAGCCUGCGAUCAGUAACUGGUGUGAGAGCACGACCAGUCACACGGGAACUGAGACACGGGCCCGACUCCUACGGGAGGCAGCAGUAAGGAAUAUUGGUCAAUGGACGCAAGUCUGAACCAGCCAUGCCGCGUGAAGGAUGAAGGUCCUCUGGAUUGUAAACUUCUUUUAUCUGGGACGAAACCCUCGUUUUCUAACGGGAUUGACGGUACCAGAGGAAUAAGCACCGGCUAACUCCGUGCCAGCCGCCGCGGUAAGAC
rnacentral:rRNA from 1 species